AGAGUUUGAUCAUGGCUCAGAUUGAACGCUGGCGGCAUGCCUUACACAUGCAAGUCGAACGGUAACAGGUCUUCGGAUGCUGACGAGUGGCGAACGGGUGAGUAAUACAUCGGAACGUGCCCGAUCGUGGGGGAUAACGAAGCGAAAGCUUUGCUAAUACCGCAUACGAUCUACGGAUGAAAGCAGGGGACCGCAAGGCCUUGCGCGAACGGAGCGGCCGAUGCCAGAUUAGGUAGUUGGUGGGAUAAAAGCUUACCAAGCCGACGAUCUGUAGCUGGUCUGAGAGGACGACCAGCCACACUGGGACUGAGACACGGCCCAGACUCCUACGGGAGGCAGCAGUGGGGAAUUUUGGACAAUGGGCGAAAGCCUGAUCCAGCCAUGCCGCGUGCAGGAUGAAGGCCUUCGGGUUGUAAACUGCUUUUGUACGGAACGAAAAGACUCUGGUUAAUACCAGGAGUCCAUGACGGUACCGUAAGAAUAAGCACCGGCUAACUACGUG
rnacentral:rRNA from 1 species